rnacentral:rRNA from 1 species
CCCUUAGAUGUUCUGGGCCGCACGCGUGCUACACUGAGUGGAUCAGCGGGUCAGGUUGCGCGAAAGUGUUUCCUAAUCUUGAAAUCCGCUCGUGAUGGGGAUUGACGGUUGCAAUUUUGCGUCAUGAACGAGGAAUACCUUGUAAGCGCGGGUCAUCAUCCCGCGCUGAAUACGUCCCUGCCCUUUGUACACACCGCCCGUCGCUCCUACCGAUUGAGUGGUCCGGUGAGGCUUUGGGAUCUGAGCGGAAAGAGCGUUUCGCUGUUUCUGCUCGGAAAACUCAGUCGAACCUUAUCAUUUAGAGGAAGGAGAAGUCGUAACA